rnacentral:rRNA from 1 species
GCAUAUCAAUAAGCGGAGGAAAAGAAACUAACAGGGAUUCCCCUAGUAAUGGCGAAUGAAGAGGGAAAAGCUCAAAUUUUAAAUCUACCUGGUUCCCAGGUCGAGUUGUAAUUUGAAGAAGCGAUAUCGGUGUGGAGGUCUGGUUCAAGUUCUUUGGAACAAGACAUCAUGGAGGGUGAGAAUCCCGUGCAUGAUCAGACCAAGAUACUUAAUAUUCGCUUUCUAAGAGUCGAGUUGUUUGGGAAUGCAGCUCAAAUUGGGUGGUAGACUUCACCUAAGGCUAAAUAUCAGCGAGAGACCGAUAGCGAACAAGUACUGUGAAGGAAAGAUGAAAAGAACUUUGAAAAGAGAGUUAAAUAGUACGUGAAAUUGUUGAAAGGGAAACGAUUGAAGUCAGUCAUGCUAGUGAAAAUUCAGUUUGGUGGGUUUUGGGUUCAGGAGUUGAGGCAGGGUCAAACCGUUUCUCUUUUGAACUUGGAAUUUGUCAGAUGCACUUUUUCUUUGGCAGGUCAGCGUCGAUUUCGGAGGUUGUAAAAUACUUGGGGAAAAGUAGCUCUGCUUCGGGAGAGUGUUAUAGACCUUGGGUGAUGCGGCCUGCGGGAUCGAGGAUUGCAGCAAAUGCUUUUGGCUUGUCGCCUGAUGUCUGGACGUCAUCUCGCUUGUAUCAACAUUCUUGGUACCGGUGAGUAAUGGUGCUCAUAGGUUAGAGCGAUCAAAAAUUUUGCUAAGGAUGCUGACGUAAUGGCUUUAAACGAC